GCGGAAGUAGUUCAGUGGUAGAACAUCACCUUGCCAAGGUGGGGGUCGCGGGUUCGAACCCCGUCUUCCGCU
rfam:Jeotgalibaca dankookensis strain EX-07, complete genome.